AACAUUCUUAAAUCAGGAUACAUAUUAUUUUUUGGUACAUUACUAUUGUGUUUAUUGUAUAUUAUAUUGUGUUUAUAUGUCUUCAUAUUUUGUCUGAAUAUAAAGGUGAAUUGGCAGUUCUGAUACUGACUGAGAGUGUGUUCCACCAUUACAAAGAUGGAGAAUGUUCUAGACCUGGAUGAGGCGAGAAUCCCUUCUUGUAAAGAGACAUGGACAAACCAGAUGAGUGGAUGGAAUCCAUUAGACAAGCCAGACUGUGCUGGACAUUUAAUUAUGGUUGAGUGGUGGUGGAAUUACAUUGACCAUCUUGAACUGAGACGGGGCUGAGGAGAAGUUUAGAAGAAGAUAAGAGAACAGAGUGACACACGGUACCAAUAACAGUCUCCUCGGAUGGGUGCGGCCUUUGCUCUGGCAGGUGAACAGGUCCAGCUGGUGAUAAGGAUGAAGUUUGUGGAUGCCGUUGUGUGUCCCCGUCGAUCAGAAACCUGUAGACGAUCUUAUGAGCCGCCUGCUCAUUCCACAACACACGGCACAGUGGGAGUUUUCAUGCAUUGUUUACUGCCGGAGCCCUGCAGCGUCAGAGACAUUAUUGUUUCCUGGCGCUUUCAUAUGUUCAGAUAAACGUCAACACACCAGUUAUUCCCGUAUCCAUGAAACCGAAUUUAUAUGUCAGCAUCUCUGCUCAAGUUAAACAGGAUAUUCAGUGAGAAAUGAUGUAGGAUGCGGACCUGGAUGGUUGAAAGUUGGAGGUGAGAAGAGGAAAAAAUGCAAAGGGAUGAAGAAAAUGAUGAUGGAAAGCAGAAACCUGUCUGAGUGAGAUGAGAGAGACACAGAAACAGGAAAUGUGAGAUGCCUUCCUCUUCCUCCUCAGGAACUCUUGAAAAGCUCAUCUGUGAUUCCUCAUUGACAGCCUGAUCCAUCUUAUGGACCUGUUCCCCAGUGGGCCCCUGGCACCCGACCCGAUACCUGGACCAUCUGUGUGCCAUCGUCUGCCAGUGAUACCAUCUGCCACUGAUAAUGGCCACGUACACAACUCUCCUAGCUGCUCCUGUGUUGGUAUCAUCCUAUAAACAUUUGUCUCCUUCAGAACUGUCAUAAUUGAAGACACAAUAUUGAGUCUUUUACACUUGAGGAUCCAGAGUCAUUUUUAUCUCUGGAUUCAUUAUAUUGUCCUAUGUUUCACACUGAUCCUGUGUAGUUUGUUUUUAAAGAUUUCACAAGGUAGAUUUGUAAAAGCCUGUCGUAAAGCUGAAGUGUGUAAUUUACAAUAUUGCAAAAAACACAGUAUUGAAGUUAGUUACUUUUCCAUGAGCUUUUAAGUUGCUUGCACUCUCAGGAUAAAUAUUUUUGAUAUGCAGAUGAAUCUGAUCAAAAUGAAUUAUUCUGACUAAGUUAUGAAACCAAUUUUAUCGAUUUAUUGAAACAGAACCGAUUCAAAGAAUGAUUUGUUGACACAUCACUGUCUUGCGAACAAAUUAUAACCAAUAAAAUUAUUACUAGG